rnacentral:rRNA from 1 species
UGGGGAAUAUUGGACAAUGGGCGGAAGCCUGAUCCAGCAAUACCGCGUGUGUGAAGGAGGCCUUCGGGUUGUAAAGCACUUUUGUCAGGGAGAAUGGUAAUUGGGGUUAAUACCCUCAGUUGCUGAUGUUACCUGAAGAAUAAGCACCGGCUAACUCCGUGCCAGCAGCCGCGGUAAUACGGGGGGUGCAAGCGUUAAUCGGAAUUACUGGGCGUAAAGGGCGCGUAGGCGGUUACUUAAGUUAGAUGUGAAAGCCCCGGGCUCAACCUGGGAAUUGCAUUUAAUACUGGGUAACUAGAGUGUGGUAGAGAGUAGCGGAAUUUCUGGUGUAGCGGUGAAAUGCGUAGAUAUCAGAAGGAACACCAAUGGCGAAGGCAGCUGCUUGGGCCAACACUGACGCUGAGGCGCGAAAGCAUGGGGAGCAAACAGG